rnacentral:snRNA from 1 species
AUCGCUUCUCGGUCUUUUGGCUAAGAUCAAGUGUAGUAUCUGUUCUUAUCAGCUUAAUGUCUUAUGUGUCCUCUAUCAGGGACAACAUAUUAAAUGGAUUUGUAGCAGUGGGAGUUGAAAAACGGGGCUUGCUCUAUUUGCAUAGACAUGGUACGGUGCGCCCUUCUUCUGUCUUUGUGUAAAACCA